rnacentral:rRNA from 1 species
AGAGUUUGAUCAUGGCUCAGAUUGAACGCUGGCGGCAGGCCUAACACAUGCAAGUCGAGCGGUAGCACAGAGAGCUUGCUCUCGGGUGACGAGCGGCGGACGGGUGAGUAAUGUCUGGGAAACUGCCUGAUGGAGGGGGAUAACUACUGGAAACGGUAGCUAAUACCGCAUAACGUCGCAAGACCAAAGUGGGGGACCUUCGGGCCUCAUGCCAUCAGAUGUGCCCAGAUGGGAUUAGCUAGUAGGUGGGGUAACGGCUCACCUAGGCGACGAUCCCUAGCUGGUCUGAGAGGAUGACCAGCCACACUGGAACUGAGACACGGUCCAGACUCCUACGGGAGGCAGCAGUGGGGAAUAUUGCACAAUGGGCGCAAGCCUGAUGCAGCCAUGCCGCGUGUGUGAAGAAGGCCUUCGGGUUGUAAAGCACUUUCAGCGGGGAGGAAGGCGGUGAGGUUAAUAACCUCAUCGAUUGACGUUACCCGCAGAAGAAGCACCGGCUAACUCCGUGCCAGCAGCCGCGGUAAUACGGAGGGUGCAAGCGUUAAUCGGAAUUACUGGGCGUAAAGCGCACGCAGGCGGUCUGUCAAGUCGGAUGUGAAAUCCCCGGGCUCAACCUGGGAACUGCAUUCGAAACUGGCAGGCUAGAGUCUUGUAGAGGGGGGUAGAAUUCCAGGUGUAGCGGUGAAAUGCGUAGAGAUCUGGAGGAAUACCGGUGGCGAAGGCGGCCCCCUGGACAAAGACUGACGCUCAGGUGCGAAAGCGUGGGGAGCAAACAGGAUUAGAUACCCUGGUAGUCCACGCCGUAAACGAUGUCGAUUUGGAGGUUGUGCCCUUGAGGUGUGGCUUCCGGAGCUAACGCGUUAAAUCGACCGCCUGGGGAGUACGGCCGCAAGGUUAAAACUCAAAUGAAUUGACGGGGCCCGCACAAGCGGUGGAGCAUGUGGUUUAAUUCGAUGCAACGCGAAGAACCUUACCUGGUCUUGACAUCCACAGAACUUUCCAGAGAUGGAUUGGUGCCUUCGGGAACUGUGAGACAGGUGCUGCAUGGCUGUCGUCAGCUCGUGUUGUGAAAUGUUGGGUUAAGUCCCGCAACGAGCGCAACCCUUAUCCUUUGUUGCCAGCGGUUCGGCCGGGAACUCAAAGGAGACUGCCAGUGAUAAACUGGAGGAAGGUGGGGAUGACGUCAAGUCAUCAUGGCCCUUACGACCAGGGCUACACACGUGCUACAAUGGCAUAUACAAAGAGAAGCGACCUCGCGAGAGCAAGCGGACCUCAUAAAGUAUGUCGUAGUCCGGAUUGGAGUCUGCAACUCGACUCCAUGAAGUCGGAAUCGCUAGUAAUCGUAGAUCAGAAUGCUACGGUGAAUACGUUCCCGGGCCUUGUACACACCGCCCGUCACACCAUGGGAGUGGGUUGCAAAAGAAGUAGGUAGCUUAACCUUCGGGAGGGCGCUUACCACUUUGUGAUUCAUGACUGGGGUGAAGUCGUAACAAGGUAACCGUAGGGGAACCUGCGGUUGGAUCACCU